rnacentral:lncRNA from 1 species
UUAACCCUUUAAAAUUUUUAAUUCAUAUGGAAGUAUCUUCAUGUUAGCUUUAAGACAAAAAAUAUCAUAGCUAGAACUUUGGUCUUUCUCUGCAACUAGAUAAUUAAGUGUUAAAUAGUAUGACUUGUUUUAUUAUUAUCAUAUAGUCUUUUCAGUCCACAUUGGAAACCAGUUUGUGUUCUUUCUUUCUUAAGCUGUCAGUUCUGUCCUCUGUGCUUGCUUUUUAAGUAGACGUCAUAGCUUGAGAAUGCCGUAGUCAUUUUUCCAAAGCGAGCACACUGUACUGUUAAUUUGUUAAGAGUAGGUUAAGGCUUUGGGAGGUGGUUACAGAGCUUAAAGACGUCUGGGGAGCCUGCUCAGCAGUGGGAGGUGAACGGGUGUCCAGGAGACGGCUGUGCUGGAGGCGCCUGCUGGGCAGGGGCGCUGUGUUGCUGGGACACUCAUGUGUGAAUGGUCCAGAGUGACACAGUGGGGAAGGGGUAGUCAUCACGAUCCUUAAGGUCAUUGGGUUGCUUAAUGUUUUAAUAAUUGUCACUGAUUGUAUUUCUGCUUACUACAAAAUUAAA